rnacentral:rRNA from 1 species
GAUGAACGCUGGCGGCGUGCCUAAUACAUGCCAGUCGAGCGAACAGAUAAGGAGCUUGCUCCUUUGACGUUAGCGGCGGACGGGUGAGUAACACGUGGGUAACCUACCUAUAAGACUGGGAUAACUUCGGGAAACCGGAGCUAAUACCGGAUAACAUUUGGAACCGCAUGGUUCUAAAGUGAAAGAUGGUUUUGCUAUCACUUAUAGAUGGACCCGCGCCGUAUUAGCUAGUUGGUAAGGUAACGGCUUACCAAGGCAACGAUACGUAGCCGACCUGAGAGGGUGAUCGGCCACACUGGAACUGAGACACGGUCCAGACUCCUACGGGAGGCAGCAGUAGGGAAUCUUCCGCAAUGGGCGAAAGCCUGACGGAGCAACGCCGCGUGAGUGAUGAAGGGUUUCGGCUCGUAAAACUCUGUUAUUAGGGAAGAACAAACGCGUAAGUAACUGUGCACGUCUUGACGGUACCUAAUCAGAAAGCCACGGCUAACUACGUG